rnacentral:rRNA from 1 species
GGUGAACGCUGGCGGCGUGCUUAAGACAUGCAAGUCGAACGCAGUCUUCGGACUGAGUGGCGCACGGGUGAGUAACACGUAACUGUCCUACCCCCAAGUCGCGGAUAACUGGCCGAAAGGUCAGCUAAUACGUGAUGUGAUGUCCCCUUUCUGGGGGGCCAUUAAAGGUUUACUGCUUGGGGAUGGGGUUGCGUUCCAUCAGCUAGUUGGCGGGGUAAAGGCCCACCAAGGCAACGACGGAUAGCCGGCCUGAGAGGGUGGCCGGCCACAGGGGCACUGAGACACGGGUCCCACUCCUACGGGAGGCAGCAGUUAGGAAUCUUCCACAAUGGGCGAAAGCCUGAUGGAGCGACGCCGCGUGAGGGAUGAAGGUUCUCGGAUCGUAAACCUCUGAAUCAGGGACGAAGGACGCGUAAGCGGGAUGACGGUACCUGAGUAAUAGCACCGGCUAACUCCGUGCCAGCAGCCGCCGUGU